rnacentral:rRNA from 1 species
UACGGAGGAUCCAAGCGUUGUCCGGAUUUAUUGGGCGUAAAGAGCUCGUAGGCGGUUCGACAAGUCGGGUGCGAAAACUCCGGGCUCAACCCGGAGACGCCACCCGAUACUGUCGUGACUGGAGUCCGGUAGGGGAGUGGGGAAUUCCUGGUGUAGCGGUGAAAUGCGCAGAUAUCAGAGGAACACCGGUGGCGAAGGCGCCACUCUGGGCCGGUACUGACGCUGAGGAGCGAAAGCGUGGGGAGCGAACAGG